AACGGACGAGAUCGAAAAGUCCGAAUGGGGAGAUUCAAGCCUAUCCGUGCCGGUGGCCCGCGGGUACAGACGGUGCGGUCGGCUCGGGGCCCUCGGGCUGCUGGGUUUGCUCCGUAUUCGCUCCUCCCGACGGUAUCUGUCUGGUGCGGUGGGCUGCACUUCUCCCCUAGUAGGACGUCGCGACCCGUUGGGAGGUUCCGAUCUUAUGGCCCGCGGUGGAGCCCACGCCGGAGCGGUAGGCUCGUCUUGCCGUUGCCGUGCAUGGACCCCUGGUGACCUGAUUGGCGCCCGACGGUAUCAAAGCUUGGGAAGGAACCGCACAGAGGUUGCGUCCGAUGCCCGGACCGGGCUACACUCGGACAGGUUCGCACCCGGUCUGCGGCGCUACUGCUUUCGAUACUCGUCCGACCCGUCUUGAAAC
rnacentral:rRNA from 1 species